rnacentral:rRNA from 1 species
AUUGAACGCUGGCGGCAUGCUUUACACAUGCAAGUCGAACGGUAACAGGCCGUAAGGUGCUGACGAGUGGCGAACGGGUGAGUAAUGCAUCGGAACGUGCCCAGUCGUGGGGGAUAACUACUCGAAAGAGUAGCUAAUACCGCAUACGAUCUAUGGAUGAAAGCGGGGGACCGUAAGGCCUCGCGCGAUUGGAGCGGCCGAUGUCAGAUUAGGUAGUUGGUGGGGUAAAGGCUCACCAAGCCAACGAUCUGUAGCUGGUCUGAGAGGACGACCAGCCACACUGGGACUGAGACACGGCCCAGACUCCUACGGGAGGCAGCAGUGGGGAAUUUUGGACAAUGGGCGCAAGCCUGAUCCAGCAAUGCCGCGUGCAGGAAGAAGGCCUUCGGGUUGUAAACUGCUUUUGUACGGAACGAAACGGCUCUGGUUAAUACCCGGGGCUAAUGACGGUACCGUAAGAAUAAGCACCGGCUAACUACGUG